rnacentral:lncRNA from 1 species
CAAGGUGGAUGUGUAGGGGCCAACUAGAGGCCAAUGGGACUGCCUGGAAGGGGAGAGAACUCAGCAUAUAGUUGGCUCUUCAAACCCUCAAGGAGCAAAGCAGUUUAUUCAAGCAAGAAAAAGAAAUCAGUGGCACAUUUAGAGGGAAAGAAGAGAGCACCAGCUGGAAAGAAAGGGAAGAUUGAGUAGCCCAAGACCUUUAUUCCUUAAGCUAGCAAGGUAAGCAUUACAUUCCAAUUCCAUUUCCAUUUUUAUUAGUAAGCCAACUGUUAGUGAUCGGAUGAAUUGGUUGACUGCUAUAGGCCGGAUUGACACUGCUAGGUGGACUGCUAUAUUGUGUUGUCAUUGAUGUUGGAACUGCUAUGUUGAUGUGUUGUUCUUGUUGUUGUUUUAAUGUCAUAAGGCUUGAACAAAAUGGCUAAAAAUGUACUCCCUCCGUCCCAGGAUAAAAGUCCUUAUUACUAUUUUGAGUUGUCCCAUGUUAAAUGUCUACUUUCUUUUAAUAACCAAACUUUACAUAUUUUUUCCUAUUAUGCCCGUAGCAUUAAAUAUUUCAUACUUUUCUUAUUCUAAUUCUCUCUCCAUAUUUAAUGACAUUAUUAUGGGCAAUUUUGUCAUUUUAUUCUUCUUAAUAUGCGUGAAAAGUCCAUCAGGACUUUUAUCCUGGGACGGAGGGAGUAUUUACUAUAUGUAAGUAUAAAGAUUUCCCACCAACUAUUCGAUUAAAUGCUAAAGUCAGGACUGAUUUGGGGUAACUAAGUAUCAACUGUGCAGGCAAGAACAAAGGCCUUAUUAUCAUGCUAAUAAUCAAGCAAAGACAUGUAAGAUUAUAUACUAUAAAUAAUAAGGCAGGUUGAGUGUAACUUGCAUACUAAGAUAGUUUCAUAUAUGAGUUAAACUAAUUAAAAAGUAACUGUGUUAACAAGCUAUUUACGGAUUGAUUUCCCUUGACCUUAAUGUGAUUUACAUGUUAAAUCAAGGUUUCUAAAGAACCAAACCAUGGAUGCAAAUAAUAAUAAAACCUAAUCGGAAUUUUCAUCAAGCUUGAAACCAAAAUAAGCCAAGUUUGGACCUGUUUUGAACAUGUCAAACUCUGCCACUAUUUUAACUGCCAUGAUAUGACAUUAACCAACUAAAUGACUUGCUAAUAAACUAAGAGAAUUGACUGUUUGAGCAGUCCUAGUAAUUUUAUGAAAGAUGUUGUGCAAAUCAGUCCAUAAUAGCAUUAGCUUGAUUUUUGUGGUAUUACUAGUUCAUGUGUUAAAACUUAAAGUUAAGAGGAGGCUGUUUUGAUCAAAUGAAUAAAGUCUUUAAUCUGCUAGUUUUUAAGCCAUGUGUAUUGAUUAUAUAGCAUGUGUAUGAAGUAAAAAUCCAUACAACUUGAGCUUUUGAAUACUUGGGACUGUUAUGGUAGAGUAUAACUAAUUCAUGGUUAUAAAACCUAGUAAGGAUUGUUUUAUUAUUAGAAACUGAACUAACUUUUACAAGCAUGCUAAUGUAUAUGGUAUUAAGUUUUAAUGAUGCUUUAAAGUUUGUUUGAGGGCUUAAAGGUCCCUUGAGUCCUAAGGUGGGACUAUUUGUGAAUAAAUGCCAAAAUAAUGCUUAAAAUCCUAAAAAUAGGAACUGUUUUAGCUACUGAGGUUAUUAGAUAGCAUGAUGUACUUACAAUGUUCAUAAAUAUCAUUUAAAAGUUGUUCCUUAACUUAGUUGAGGUUCACGGUGAAUGUUACUCAAUUUUCAUGUCUAAAAUCAUAAAAAGUAAGCUUUAUGAUAGCAAUAAACACCAAAAUUAAACACCACCAUACCUGGGUCAUAUAGGCAUGUUUCAAUAGUUAUAAUAUAGCAUAAGUGGGCUACAUAAGCCAAAGAAGCCAAGUCUAAAUUGUUUUGAGCCUUAGACUUGUUAAAAAUCACAUUUUUAAGCCAAAAGAGUUUUGUUUUGGGUGAUCCUCAACACCUGAACAUAUAAGCCUGUAAUAAACCCAUAUAAAGAUGCUAAUGCAUGCUUAUAAUGGUUUUCAAUCAUUGUCAAGACAAAAACUAGCAAGAAAACCAAGUUAGGAUCUAUUUUCAAGCCUAAAGUGAACUUUGAUAAGUCAAACUUGGCUAAGUGAUUAAAUAAAGCAUGAUGAUGAUGAAAUUAGCCUUAAACUUAAAUACGCAUGCCUAAACUAUCCUAGUGGCCAAAAGUGGAAAAUUUUGGAAAUAGUUCAAAAACAGUUUUUGUAUGAAAGUGAGAAAAUUGCCCAGUUAGAGCCCUGUUUUGGGAAGCCUAAUUGACAUGAAUAAGAAAAAUAAAACUUGAUUAAAAUAACUUGAUGUAUGGUCUAGAAGUAGGACCAAAUGGUUGAACCAAUAACUUAACCCAUAAAUUCAAACAAAUCACCAAACUAGCCUAUAAAAUCAACAAAACUGUAGAUUCUGCAGAUUUUUUCAAGUGUAAAAUUGAGGUUUUGCUAUUUUACUUAAAAAUCAGUUUUAACACCUUAGGCAAGUGAUUUAGAUAUAUGCUAGGAUAUUCCAAGUGUUGGAAUGCUAAGGUAUACAAGAACUUGAGAAAUUAGUAAGUAAAAACUUGAAAAAACUAGGUUUAGAGGGUCAAAACCAAAUCUAUGCUUAGCAAAGUCAAGAAAAUGCUAAAACUAGUCUUAACUAGUAAUAAUUCAAGUGUUGAACCCAAGAGGCCAGAAAUGAAAAUGGCAAGAAUUCACCAAAGUUGGUAAAAGCUAAAACUGUGAUAAACAACCUAGUUUGAGCAUCAGUUUCAAGAAGCAUAAAAGGCUUACUUGAGAAACCAAACUAAUACAAAAAUACCUUGGUAUACAGUCUAGAAAUAUGCCCAGAGUUCAUGUCUAAAGCCUAAUACAAAAAUUUAUAAAAAUCAUCAAAGUAACCUUGAAAAUCAUAAAAACUACAGAUUUUGCUAAGAAAAGGUGUAAAACAGCCCAUUUGGGGCCUGUUAUUGAUUGCUUAAGCUUAAUAGUUUUAAAGACCUAAACCAGGAAUAACAUACUUUGUUUAUGAGGUCUAUGAGAUGGCACAAUUAGGAGAUUCAAAAGCUUACUAUAAAACUACUUAAAAUCUCCAAACGUACCUCAAAAAUCAUAUUUUUGUGUUUUUGAGUUAUGUUACAAAAGUAAAGUUUAAAGCUUAUAAGUGUCUUAUCAUGACUAAAUGAGAUAAUAAAGAUGUUUUAUGAUCUAAUAUCUAUAUCAUGAUAUGUUGAGACUGAAACUUGUAUGUUUUGGAUGUAUGAAAGUUAUAUGUGUUAUAUGUCUACGUGAACUAAUUAAGUAAAAGUACUAUAUGUAUCCUAAGCUGUGAAAAUGUGUUGUGGCAAAGCUAAGUGCCUAUGUGUGCUUAACUGUAGAAUAAAAGUUAUCUAUAGAACUGUUAAUGUUAGUAAGUAGCUUAUCUGAUCAUUAUUGAAUAUAACUUUAAUAACCAUAGUUGAGCUAAUAUAAACUUUAUGCUAAAAGAUAACUAAGUAAUUCAAUACUGGAUAUAUGUAAGUUACUCAGUGGUAAAGCACUUUCUUAAAAAGUUUAAUCGACGUGAGAGACAAGUACAUCAACCUUCCUUACUCAAUUAAGCUUAUAUUGCAAGUACUUAACUCGAAGGCUUAUCUUUUCAAGUUAUUGAAAUUAUUGAACUGCAAUACUUUAAAUUCAUUUAUUCUUAUGAUAUUGAAAGUAUGUCAAUGUCAUUAUUUCGGCUAGACAACUGUUGAGAUAUACUGAUAUUAUUCAUUCAUGAAAAUCUCAUUUAAUGUUCUCAAAACCAUUUUGUUUUGGUGCACUCUUAUAUAAUGAUGUGAACGAACAACCCUUUUAUAGGGGCAUAUGAUACUGGACAUGAUUCUGAAGGACAUGUAAUGUGUCAUUUGACUGUUAUGUUGUGCACAAUGUAGGGUACUUAAGAUGAUCCCCUAAAGUACAAGUCUAGGAUAUACUUCAGUUUUAAUAAUUGUUUGUAUCCAUGGAUUGCAGUUUUAGUACAAAGUUCACCGGUCAUUUGACCUUACAGCAUGCUAAAGUUUGAUUCUUUAAACUCAAAUCUUAUAAAGAACUGUUUUGCUCAGUAUCUCUUGAUUUUAUUUUUCUUAUUGUAAAUAUUCUUAUUCCAUUAUAUUCAACUGUUUUUUUCCUUACGUACUGAGCAAGCGUUUGCUCACCCUUGCGUUGAAUAUAAUUUUUUUCAGUUAAAACUGAAAACACUGGUACCUCAGGGAAAGAUAAGGAAAAAGGCAAAUUUGCAGAAUAAGUUGUUAUUAAGCGCAGGUGCUUAUAUGAACUUAAUGAGUUAUUGUAAAAAGUACCUUAUUAUUAUUGUCUUGUAUUAUUA